UACGAAGGGGGCUAGCGUUGCUCGGAAUCACUGGGCGUAAAGGGCGCGUAGGCGGCCUUCUAAGUCGAACGUGAAAUCCCCGGGCUCAACCCGGGAACUGCGUCCGAUACUGGAAGGCUUGAAUCCGGGAGAGGGAUGUGGAAUUCCAGGUGUAGCGGUGAAAUGCGUAGAUAUCUGGAGGAACACCGGUGGCGAAGGCGACAUCCUGGACCGGUAUUGACGCUGAGGCGCGAAAGCGUGGGGAGCAAACAGG
rnacentral:rRNA from 1 species